AUUUGUUUAAAAUUUAUAUAAAUUAUAGUCAUUCUUUUUAAUUUUUAGUAAAAAAGUUUGAUCCUUGCUUGUAAUCUUUACUAUUAGAUUGGGCUACAUGUAAGAUAAUUCUAGAAAAAUAAGUGGUUAAAAUCUAUUUUUUAGUUCUCAGUAGUAAAAAUUGGUCAAUUUAGUAAAAUUGAACUAGCAAUUCUAAUAAUUCAGGCUAAAUUUGUGCCAGCAGCCGCGGUUAGACUGAUAGUGUAGGUGAAGGUUUGUAAGGGGGUAGUUAGAAGUUUAUGUUGCUUUUUUAUACUGCUAUAAAAAUAAAGGGUGAAAUUUAAUAUUAUAGUGUGGUAGUUUGUAAAAGUAAGAGGUUUCGAGUCUAUUAAGGUUCAGAUAUAAACCAGGAUUAGAUACCCUGUUAUACUUUAUUAAAAUUUAAUCCCUUGAGUAGUAAGCAGUUAUGUUCUUGAAACUUAAAGGAUUUGGCGGUAUUUCAGUCCUGUUAGAGGAACCUGUUCUGUAAACGAUACACCACGAAUUAUCUUACUCUUUCUAGUUAUUCAGUUUGUAUACCGCCAUUGUUAGAUAGUUUUUAUAAAAAUCUAUUAGAAUAAUUGUUAAUUAAUAUAUUAGGUCAAGGUGCAGCUAAUGUGAGAGUAGUUAAUGGGUUACAAUAAUAUAGGUAUAUUACGGAUGAGAGCUAUAAGGGCUUUUUGAAGGUGGAUUUAAUAGUAAUUUUUAUUUAAUAAGUUAGUAUGAUAGGGGCUCUGAAAUAUGUACACAUCGCCCGUCGCUCUCACCCUAACGUGAGAUAAGUCGUAACAUAGUAGGUGUAUUGGAAAAUGCACCUAGAAUUACUAG
rnacentral:rRNA from 1 species